UGCGGGGUAGAGCAGCGGUAGCUCGUCAGCCUCAUAAGCUGGAGGUCGCAGGUUCAAGUCCUGCCCCCGCAACCA
rnacentral:tRNA from 1 species